rnacentral:rRNA from 1 species
GACGAACGCUGGCGGCGUGCUUAACACAUGCAAGUCGAACGGAAAGGCCCUGCUUUUGUGGGGUGCUCGAGUGGCGAGCGGGUGAGUAACACGUGAGUAACCUGCCCUUGACUUUGGGAUAACUUCAGGAAACUGGGGCUAAUACCGGGUAGGAGCUCCUGCUGCAUGGUGGGGGUUGGAAAGUUUCGGCGGUUGGGGAUGGACUCGCGGCUUAUCAGCUUGUUGGUGGGGUAGUGGCUUACCAAGGCUUUGACGGGUAGCCGGCCUGAGAGGGUGACCGGCCACAUUGGGACUGAGAUACGGCCCAGACUCCUACGGGAGGCAGCAGUGGGGAAUAUUGCACAAUGGGCGGAAGCCUGAUGCAGCAACGCCGCGUGCGGGAUGACGGCCUUCGGGUUGUAAACCGCUUUCGCCUGUGACGAAGCGUGAGUGACGGUAAUGGGUAAAGAAGCACCGGCUAACUACGUG